GGGAGAACCUCGCAGUCCAGUACAGCGCCGGCCGGUGAGCGGUGCAGUGUGUGGCUUCUUGCUGCUGCGAUCACCCCAUGAAGGAAAGUGACUAGAACUGACGACCCGAAAGAGGAAAAAAAAAGGAAAACGAUUGAUAAAUCUGAUCCGAAAGCAAAACAAAAAGGAAAAAAAAGAGGAACAUUAAAAAAGACCUGAAAAAAAAUUAGAGAAAAUCGAUCCGUUCGAAAUCCGCGACGGACACGAUGCCCUGAUCUCUCCUCGACGGAGAUUCUCGCCGCCCAUCGACGAUUUUUGUGGGCGUUUCUCUCUGUCUCUUCACACACACACUUACACACCUAACGCCCACACUGACACCUCGCCCACUGUAUCACAUUCGCGCCCAACAUACACAGAACACCAUCCAACCUUUCAUCUUCCUUCGACAUCGCG